UUACUGAUUUUUAUUUCAACAAAUUUUUUUCUACCCAAUGCCGAUAAUUCAUGUUUUGUAUUCGUAUUUACUAUUUAAUACUUCAGUUUUUUGUAGUCACUAGUCAGUACCUAACUGCGUGAUAACGAUAUUAAUUACGAUUCAUUGGGUAACAAGUCGAAUGUGUGUACCUACUGCUAACAGUGCAACGAAUCGAAAUUCAUAAUUUAUAAUAAAUGUGUUUGCGUGCAUUGUUACAAUUAUUAAUCAGUUCAUUACGUUUUUGAAACCGCUCAUAAUAUACAUAACACUAUUAUAAUGGCCGUGGACAACUUGAAACAGUUUGUUUUCCGCAACAAGGAAGUUCUCAUGUUUAUAGUGGGAUUUGGAGUGAUGCACAUCGGCUGGUACAACUUGCAGCGUAACAAUACCUUGAAUAAAGCAAUAGCAGCGUCUCGUGAUAAAGAAACUAUUAAGGAAUAUAAGCGAUUAGAACGUGAGAUUAAUGCAAAUUGGUCAGACAAAUCUUCUUCACAACAACAGCAUCAACCUCAAACAUCUGGUAUAAUAUUAUCUUCUGCAGCAUCAUUUACAGAAAAAUCUCCUAAUACUCAUUAAUUGUACAUAUAUUAAUCUUAAAAACAGUUCAUUUGUGAUUUAAUUAUAUAUAUAUAUAUAUAUAUAUAAUAAUGAAUAGUUAUGCAAAAAAAAAUAUUUCUGUUUGUGAAAAAUAUAAGAAUAGCAUUAUUUUUAGUCAGGAACUAAGUACUAACUGUGACUUAAAAAUGUAGACUAAAAUUGUAUUUAUUAUAUUGUGAUAUAAAAAUGUUUUCUAGUCUCUAAAAUGAUAAUUAUGUAACAAGUAUAAUAGAUUGCUAUUCUAAUAUGCUUAUUCAAUAUUCAUGUAUGUAUAUAUAUAUAAUAUAUUAUGUAGAAACAAACUGAAAUAUUAUUUUACUACUUAAUAGUUAAUUUUUCAUUGAUUAAUAUUGUAACUUGUUUUCUUUACUGAUAUUAUAAUGUUAACAUCAUAAUAGAUUUAUAGAUUAGAAGUAUUUUGAUAAAUUAUAACAUAAAACAAUAAUAUAUAAAAAAUAUCAAAAAAAAUAUUUUUCACAUUUUAAUUUUAAUUAAGAAUGCUAAAAUAUUGAGUGAAAUGUAUUGAAACAAUAUCCUUCUAAAAUGUCACUUAUCAUUAAUUUUGUUAAGAUAUGGUUUCCCCACAACGCCUAGAUGCAGUAGUGCUAUUUUACCACUACUUGACGCUAGCUAUGUCUGGACCAGUACAAUAUACUGUUAUGUAAAGCAAGUUUUUUUAUUAUAAAGAAAUUAACUUAGAUGUAUUAUUUUUCAAUUCAAAAUAAAGGUAGAAACAAACUAAACAAUUAAACACCUUACAAAA